rnacentral:rRNA from 1 species
CAUGUCUUUUUGAUUAUAAUUUAAAGUCUGACCUGCCCUAUGAAUAUAAAAGUUUAAAUGGCUGCGGUAUUUUGACCGUGCAAAGGUAGCAUAAUAAUUAGUUUUUUAAUUGGGAACUGGUAUGAAAGGUCGAACGAGAAAAAAACUGUCUCAAUUUAAUUUUAAUUAGAAUUUUAUUUUUAAGUAAAAAAGCUUAAAUAAUUUUAAAAGACGAGAAGACCCUAUAGAGUUUUAUAAAAAUUUAAUUAUUUAAAAAUUAAAGAAUUUAAAGUUUAUUUAUUUUAGUUUUUAUUUAAUUGGGGCGAUUAAAAAAUUUAAAGAACUUUUUUUAAAUAAUAACAUUGAUUUAUGAUUAAGUGAUCCAUUUGUUAUGAUUAUAAGAUUAAAUUACCUUAGGGAUAACAGCGUAAUUUUUUUUGAGAGUUCUUAUCGAAAAAAAAGUUUGCGACC